rnacentral:rRNA from 1 species
AUUGAACGCUGGCGGAAUGCUUUACACAUGCAAGUCGAACGGCAGCACGGACUUCGGUCUGGUGGCGAGUGGCGAACGGGUGAGUAAUGUAUCGGAACGUGCCCAGGCGUGGGGGAUAACGUAGUGAAAAUUACGCUAAUACCGCAUACGAGCUAUGGAUGUAAGCGGGGGAUCGCAAGACAUAGCGCGAUUGGAGCGGCCGAGAUCAGAUUAGGUAGUUGGUGGGGGAAAGGCCCACCAAGCCAACGAUCUGUAGCUGGUCUGAGAGGGACGACCAGCCACACUGGAACUGAGACACGGUCCAGACUCCUACGGGAGGCAGCAGUGGGGAAUUUUGGACAAUGGGCGAAAGCCUGAUCCAGCCAUUCCGCGUGCAGGAUGAAGGCCCUCGGGUUGUAAACUGCUUUUGUACAGAACGAAAAGGUUUCUACUAAUACUAGGAGCUCAUGACGGUACUGUAAGAAUAAGCACCGGCUAACUACGUGCCAGCCGCCGCCGUAA